rnacentral:rRNA from 1 species
AAAAAUAAAAAGCUAAUUUUUUUUAUUUAAAUUUACUUUUAAUAUUAAAAGUAAAAAUAUCUUUGGUUGGGGCAACCACGAAGAAAAAAGAACCUUCGAUUAUCAAAAAAAAUACACAAAUUUAAAAGCUUACUAAACUUUAAAGCUUAAAAGAUCCGACUUAACUUAAUCGAUCAAAGGAAAAAGUUACCGCAGGGAUAACAGCGUUAUUCUCUUUAAGAGUUCGUAUUGACAAGAGAGUUUGCGACCUCGAUGUUGGACCGGGGCAUCCAAGAGAUGCAGAAGUCUCUAAAGGUAGGUCUGUUCGACCUUUAAAGCCCUACGCGAUCUGAGUUCAGACCGACGCAAGU